AUGGCCCGGGUUGCGUCCAGCUGUGCCGCCCUUGUGGCGCAAAGGAGGGGAUUUUCCGCCGCGAUAACCGCAAUCGAUGUGUCGGUGAAGAAGGUCGAGGAGAAGGCGGUGAAGCUGGGUAUGGCGGCGACGGAGGACACGACGGAGGACAAGACGGCGUUCUGGGAGCCGGACCCCAAGACCGGCGACUACCGGCCGGUGACCGGCACCAAGGAGGUGGAUCCGGCCGACCUGCGCGCCGAGGUGCUCAAGCGGAGGUUGCUGCAGCAGCAGUGA
rnacentral:rRNA from 1 species